rnacentral:rRNA from 1 species
CCGGGUGAUCAGGUAGAGAAUACCAAGGCGCUUGAGAGAACUCGGGUGAAGGAACUAGGCAAAAUGGCACCGUAACUUCGGGAGAAGGUGCACCGCUUUUGGUGAUGGGAUUUACUCCCUAAGCUGAGGGCGGUCGAAGAUACCAGGCCCCUGCAACUGUUUAUUAAAAACACAGCACUCUGCAAACACGUAAGUGGACGUAUAGGGUGUGACGCCUGCCCGGUGCCGGAAGGUUAAUUGAUGGGGUUAGCGCAAGCGAAGCUCUUGAUCGAAGCCCCGGUAAACGGCGGCCGUAACAAUAACGGUCCUAAGGUAGCGAAAUUCCUUGUCGGGUAAGUUCCGACCUGCACGAAUGGCGUAAUGAUGGGGGCGCUGUCUCCACCCGAGACUCAGUGAAAUUGAAAUCGCGGUUAAGAUGCCGUGUACCCGCGGCUAGACGGAAAGACCCCGUGAACCUUUACUAUAGCUUUGCACUGAACUUUGAACCUAUCUGUGUAGGAUAGGUGGGAGGCUUUGAAGUCGAGACGCUAGUUUCGAUGGAGCCGUCCUUGAAAUACCACCCUGGUAUGUUUGAGGUUCUAACGUCGGCCCCUUAUCGGGGUUACGGACAGUGUAUGGUGGGUAGUUUGACUGGGGCGGUCUCCUCCCAAAGAGUAACGGAGGAGCACGAAGGUGUGCUAAUCAUGGUCGGAAAUCAUGAGGUUAGUGUAAAGGCAAAAGCACGCUUGACUGCGAGACAGACAUGUCGAGCAGGUACGAAAGUAGGUCUUAGUGAUCCGGUGGUUCUGUAUGGAAGGGCCAUCGCUCAACGGAUAAAAGGUACUCCGGGGAUAACAGGCUGAUACCGCCCAAGAGUUCACAUCGACGGCGGUGUUUGGCACCUCGAUGUCGGCUCAUCACAUCCUGGGGCUGAAGCCGGUCCCAAGGGUAUGGCUGUUCGCCAUUUAAAGUGGUACGCGAGCUGGGUUUAGAACGUCGUGAGACAGUUCGGUCCCUAUCUGCCGUGGGCGUUGGAGAUUUGAGAAGAGUUGUUCCUAGUACGAGAGGACCGGAAUGAACGAACCUCUGGUGUUCGGGUUGUCAUGCCAAUGGCAUUGCCCGGUAGCUACGUUCGGACGGGAUAACCGCUGAAAGCAUCUAAGCGGGAAGCCUCCUUCAAGAUGAGAUCUCCCUGGGACUUUAAGUCCCCUAAAGAGCCGUUGAAGACUACGACGUUGAUAGGUUGGGUGUGGAAGCGCAGCGAUGCGUUGAGCUAACCAAUACUAAUUGCUCGUGCGGCUUGACC